CUGGUCGGACUGGCGGAGGAUGUGGUUCCAGGACAAGCUGGCAAAGACCCAGGAACAAAUGGUCCUGGUUUGAGGAGGAGAGAGAGAGAAGGAGAGACGGGAGGAGAGAGCUGCAGAUAACCCGUAUCCACAGAGAAAGUUCUGGAAUGUUAACGAUUGCUGUGAGGAAACUGAACUAAUCAACUUUGCAAAGUAUCGUGCAUCACUCUUGCUGAAGCCAGCGACUCCCCUUUGCUGCCUGAAGUGUUUUACUACUGCGUUAACUGUUGAUCAUGGUGCAAAUGAAUAGAAAUGGUGCUCGAAAUACUCCCUUUUUAUGUACAAACUGAUUUACCAUUUCUCACUUUCAAAUAAGACAUGUUUUUUGAAAAAUUA